UGCGCAGGCGGUUAUACAAGACAGGCGUGAAAUCCCCGGGCUUAACCUGGGAAUGGCGCCUGUGACUGUAUAGCUAGAGUGUGUCAGAGGGGGGUAGAAUUCCACGUGUAGCAGUGAAAUGCGUAGAUAUGUGGAGGAAUACCAAUGGCGAAGGCAGCCCCCUGGGAUAACACUGACGCUCAUGCACGAAAGCGUGGGGAGCAAACA
rnacentral:rRNA from 1 species